rnacentral:rRNA from 1 species
UUGGAGGGCAAGUCUGGUGCCAGCAGCCGCGGUAAUUCCAGCUCCAAUAGCAUAUAUUAAAGUUGUUGCAGUUAAAAAGCUCGUAGUUGAAUUUCGGAAUCUGUCCAUCGGUCGGGCUUCACUGUCCGUACUGGUGUGAUGGGUUUCUACCUUCUGAAUAACCGGCAUGUCAUUAAUUUGGUGCGCCGGGGAAGCAGGACUAUUACCUUGAAAAAAUUAGAGUGCUUAAAGCAGGCUAGCGCCUGAAUACAUUAGCAUGGAAUAAUAAAAUAGGACGGCAUGGUUCUAUUUUGUUGGUUUCUAGGAUCACCGUAAUGAUUAAUAGGGAUAGUUGGGGGCAUUAGUAUUCAAUUGUCAGAGGUGAAAUUCUUGGAUUUAUUGAAGACUAACUUCUGCGAAAGCAUUUGCCAAGGAUGUUUUCAUUAAUCAAGAACGAAAGUUAGGGGAUCGAAGACGAUCAGAUAUCGUCGUAGUCUUAACCAUAAACUAUGCCGACUAGGGAUCGGACGAUGUUAAUUUUUUAAUGACUCGUUCGGCGCCUUACGGGAAAC